GAACUUCUCAACAGAUGUCACUUCUUCACGACAGGUCCGGAGACUGCGUCAGGCAGUGAAGAUUGAAGCGUUUACCAAAGUGCUCUCAUGUUCCUCCGGCUUGGGCUGGUUUUUGGACGUGUCGAACCUGCCAAAGCUGUAAGAGCGCUGAUGAAGACAGAAGUGAAAUGCCUUACCACUGAUGUCUGGAGGAUUUCUGCUCUCCUCGACAUUGCUCUUCACCAGCUUGUGGGUCUUCUGGAGAGUUCCAUGUGCCUUGUCCUCACCAACCUGCAGGCCAAAAGGAAGGAAGAUACAGAAAUUAUCCAUCUGACAUUGAGAUUUGCUGAUGUACCUGAACGUCGUAAUCCCUCUCAUUUCUCUCAAUUCUUUCUUCUUGAGCCAAGGGGUUCAUCAUGUAGGGAGCUUCACUUGCAUCUGUUCAGAAUGCAGAGAUUGCAAAUAAUCAGUGGGAGAAAGAUCGCCAGCAGCAUUCCAUGCGAAACGAGUUCAAACAUUGCAACAUGGUCUUAGAACUGCAAGAAUUUCCACAAGGUGGGCUAAUGCUUCCAUAAUGCACCUGGCAGCCGUUUUGUAAUCUUUCACCCGAGCGGCACGGGCAUUCGCGUCAUCGUUGAUGUGCAAGCUUUUCCAGUCUAUCGACACGUCACCUUCAUUUAAAUACACAUACUCAUAAACAUCCUGCUGCAUCGCUUACCUUCAGCAUGAUGGUGAACUGGAUCAUCUGUCUUCCCAGUGCACGGACAGUAGACGUUACUGGGUGCUGUUUUGUCUGUGAAUAAGAACAGAGACCAAAAUAGUCAUUAUGUUAGUAAAACAUAAUGUGUGAGAUAAAUCAAGUGGCAGCAACUGAGUCAGCCAAGCAGGGUACGAGUGGGACAGCCAUUUGAGCCAUUUGGGAGUGUGGGCUUAAUUUGGAAGGCCAAAAUUAGAGUGAUAAAGGACCGAUGGAUCAGUGGGAAAUUCGUGUAACUAAAUUCAAAGCUGUAGUGAGUGCACUUUAAACUUUUAAUUAAAAACGGCAGGGUGCAGUGUGAUUAAAAAGGCAAAUCUGA